rnacentral:rRNA from 1 species
UAUACAUGCAAGUCGAGCGGACUUGAAGAGAAGCUUGCUUCUCUGAUGGUUAGCGGCGGACGGGUGAGUAACACGUAGGCAACCUGCCCUCAAGCUUGGGACAACUACCGGAAACGGUAGCUAAUACCGAAUACUUGUUUUCUUCGCCUGAAGAGAACUGGAAAGACGGAGCAAUCUGUCACUUGGGGAUGGGCCUGCGGCGCAUUAGCUAGUUGGUGAGGUAACGGCUCACCAAGGCGACGAUGCGUAGCCGACCUGAGAGGGUGAUCGGCCACACUGGGACUGAGACACGGCCCAGACUCCUACGGGAGGCAGCAGUAGGGAAUCUUCCGCAAUGGGCGAAAGCCUGACGGAGCAAUGCCGCGUGAGUGAUGAAGGUUUUCGGAUCGUAAAGCUCUGUUGCCAGGGAAGAACGCUUGGGAGAGUANUGCUCUCAGGGUGACGGUACCUGAGAAGAAAGCCCCGGCUAACUACGUGCNGGCACCCCCGGAAAUACGUAGGGGGCAAGCGUCNNCUGAAAUCAUGGGCCGUAAAGCGCGCGCAGGCGCCCCUGAAAUCCUGUGAUUA